rnacentral:lncRNA from 1 species
GCCCCGUUUUGCUGCUCACUAGCUACAUGAUCUUGGGCAAGUUAUUUAAGCUCUCUGAGCUUCAGUUUCUUCCUCUGCAGAAUGGGGAUGAAAGCGGACUACUACCUCAUGGCAUGUUUUGAGGAUGAAAUGAGCUAAUAAACACAGUCUUCAGCCCUACAUUAGGACGGCCUAAGGAAAACAAGAAGACUGAAUGAUAUUCCCUGACAGGCUUUUACUCUGUCACCCAGGCUGGAGUGCAAUGGUGCAAUCUUGGCUCACUGAAACCUCUGCCUCCUGGAUUCAAGCGAUCCUCCCAACUCAGCCUCCCGAGUAGCUG